CGUAGGGUCCGAGCGUUGUCCGGAAUUACUGGGCGUAAAGAGCUCGUAGGUGGUUUGUCGCGUUGUUCGUGAAAACUCACAGCUUAACUGUGGGCGUGCGGGCGAUACGGGCAGACUUGAGUACUGCAGGGGAGACUGGAAUUCCUGGUGUAGCGGUGGAAUGCGCAGAUAUCAGGAGGAACACCGGUGGCGAAGGCGGGUCUCUGGGCAGUAACUGACGCUGAGGAGCGAAAGCGUGGGGAGCGAACAGG
rnacentral:rRNA from 1 species